AGGAACAGCUGUUGCUGCCGUGUCUGGUGGGGGGCCUGAGAGUGGCAGGACAAGCAGCCUGCCCCAGAAGUGGAAGAAACUGAAAGUGGAGUCCUGAGAGCUGAAUCUGCCGCAGGCCCGCGGGCCGCCCGGGAAUUAGGAAAGUUAGAGGGGAUCCACGCCCACAAGUGCUAUGGACUCUGAUCGCCCAACCAGAGCAAACCCAGAAGGACAACUCUCCAAGCCUUUCAAUCACUCCCACUAACCCGUAUUGUGGACACACUAUUGUGAGGCCUACUAAGGAUGUACUGCUGAUGACCUUUUGAAGGCCAGUGGACCUGCUCUGCAGACCCAGGCUCCUCUCCCAUGGAGCAUCCCAAGUCUGUCCUUAUGGGAAGAAGCAGGAGCCCUGUCUGGCUGUACCCCAAGCUGCUUUCUCUGGACCAAUGCUGUCAGCGAUAGAGGGAACCCUUCCACCAUCAUGUGAAGAAGCCUGGUCUAGCCUGCUGGAGGAUGAGAGAUCACAUGGAAUGAGGCCACAAUCGUUCCAGCCAAAGCCCCAGUAAUAGAAUUAAGAUCAUCCAAGACCAUGGCAUCCCGCCUGAGAAGUUCAGAUGAGAAGGGCCACCUGAACAACCAACAGAAUCUUAAAAAGUAAAAAAUGAGUGUUGCCACUAUGCAUCUAUUAGAAUGGCAGAAAUCGAAGACACUGACAACAACAAAUGCUGGUGAGGAUGUGGAGCAACAGGAACUCU
rnacentral:lncRNA from 1 species